CAUGUGUGUUUGUGUGUGCGUACAUGUACAUGUGUGUAUAUGAAUAUACAUAUACAUACACGCACACAUAGAUACGCACGCACACACACACACAGG
ensembl:miRNA Mir466d microRNA 466d